AUGGGUUAGAGUCCUCAUGCCGUCAGCCUAACUGUGGGAUAUUUUCGUGGUUUUCCUCUCCAUGGAACGCAAGUACAUAUUAGUUCUAUCAAAAAAUUCUCCAAGAAGGAUCAUGAGGACGUAAUCAUUAUUCAUUUCAACAGCUAUCAUUCCAUAAGCUUCUGCACUUUUUGUUUACAAUUAGACUGUCCCUUAAAUGUUUUGUACCCCUGUCGUCUGAAUCUGUAAAUUGAUUCAGAUCAUGGUGGAAUUAGUUUAAUUUAUUGAUUUCAGAUCUAUUUUCAUUCCUAUUUAAUAGUUCUUACAGGAAUGAGAACAGUCCAACAGCAUAAGGAAAUUUCUCUUAUUAACACACAUGUUAUCUUCCUCCAAAGAUACUUUUUCAUUCAUGUUUUUAUGGUAAAGAAAUAGGAAAGAUGGUAUUCAUGCCCUUGUUCAUUUUGAAUAUUCUUGUUGUCAAAAGUACAAUGAAUGAUGGACUUACAUUCAAAGAAACUUCAACAAUGCAAAUAUGAGCGUGUGCAAUACCUACCGCAGUUAGCAGUUAUACUGGUUUUCGUUUUAGUUGUACAGCGUUAAAAAAUUGUAGCUGGUACUCGGCACAUGUUGCCUUUUUACAACGGAGUUACUCUUAAGAAUCAUGUCGCAAGAAAUCAAACGAAAUCAGCCCUUAGAAAUGGCUGACAGAAUUCACGAAGCCCAAAUGAAGAAGCUGUAUGGAAAAAAGGAACAAUAUCUCAAGGUUGUUGAAGAUACAGCUCAGGUUCCCUACAAUGCCUCACACAAGCCAAAAUUCCAUGGCAAAAAGUGAACAAUUUUUUAUAGUUCUGAACUGUUUGUUAGAAAUAAUUUGACGUACGUUUUCCUUUCUUGCGUAUCUUGUACUAAGUCAUUGAAAAGUGUGUAAUAAAAUAUUGUUAAACCUAAAAUAAAACGUUACUAAGAUUGUCAAAUUUAA